UACGGGGGGGGCAAGCGUUGCUCGGAAUUACUGGGCGUAAAGGGCGCGUAGGCGGACAGUUUAGUCAGAGGUGAAAGCCCAGGGCUCAACCUUGGAAUUGCCUUUGAUACUGGCUGUCUUGAGUUCGGGAGAGGUGAGUGGAAUGCCGAGUGAAGAGGUGAAAUUCGUAGAUAUUCGGCGGAACACCAGUGGCGAAGGCGACUCACUGGCCCGAUACUGACGCUGAGGCGCGAAAGCGUGGGGAGCAAACAGG
rnacentral:rRNA from 1 species